rnacentral:rRNA from 1 species
ACUUUGGAAAGAGAGUUAAACAGUACGUGAAAUUGUUGAAAGGGAAACGAUUGAAGUCAGUCGCGUCUUCCGAGAUUCAAUCUUGCUUAACGGCUUGGUGUACUUCUCGGAUCAGACGGGCCAGCAUCAAUUUGAAGGGUUGGAAAAAGGCAUUGAUAAUGUGGCACUCUUUCGUGGAGUGUGUUAUAGAUCUCUGUCGCAUACAACACUUUGGAUUGAGGAUCGCAGCACGCUUUUGGGAUUUAUUUCAAAGGUCGGGGUUCGCCCACGUUCACGUGCUUAGGAUGCUGGCGUAAUGGCUUUAAACGACCCGUCUUG